ACGGGAGGCAGCAGUAGGGAAUCUUCCACAAUGGACGCAAGUCUGAUGGAGCAACGCCGCGUGAGUGAAGAAGGCUUUCGGGUCGUAAAACUCUGUUGUUGGAGAAGAAUGGUCGGCAGAGUAACUGCUGCCGGCGUGACGGUAUCCAACCAGAAAGCCACGGCUAACUACGUGCCAGCAGCCGCGGUAAUACGUAGGUGGCAAGCGUUAUCCGGAUUUAUUGGGCGUAAAGCGAGCGCAGGCGGUUUUUUAAGU
rnacentral:rRNA from 1 species